CCGUAAGCUAGCGCUCUCCGAGCGGCCGCGCGACAGGAGGUGUGCGACAAAGACUCUGUUAGUUAGCUCUGGAGAAAAGUAAAGUAAUUUGUAGUGAAAUGUUUCCGGGAGUUGGAAGUGGAUCUAACUGAAGUUUAACCAGAGAGAGAGGAAACUUCUUAAACACGGAGUAACAGAGGGAGGAGCUCCGCGAGGCGUUUCCCCUCCAAUUAACCCGGAUUAUCCCGAAUCACCAUUGAGCUUCGUCGUCUGCCGUCGAGAUCAUCAUAGCUGCUCGUGGACGCCUUCAUGCCGUCUGGAUGCUGAUGUGUGGAUGCUGUGCUGUCUGAAGAGGCGAUGAUCAGAAAAUCCUUGACUCAGCAUCUUCAAAUCAAAUCUGGAGCCGCUGCUUUGUCCGAUGUAAUGUGCUGAAACUGUGACGUGUGAAAAUCUUCCUGACUGGGAGGCGAUGGAGAGGCAGUGAUGGUGGCGUCCCGUCGCUCAGCAGCUCCUGUGGAGGUGACCUUGAGGGCUGUGGUUGUUCUGUGCAGGUCCAAGGUGUCGCUGUGGGAAACUGAGCCCGAGCUGGAGCUGAAACCAGGCCUGUAGUGCUCAGGAAACCCUCCCAGGAGGAACGGAGAAAUAUAAAUCCAUCAGCAGGCACUCCAGGCAAAUGUAGCUUUUAUUUUUCCUUUGAAAAAACAUCCUUGUCAGGUUGUUUCUUUGGCUAGUGUGAAGGAAAAUAGGAAAUUAUAGCUGUUAAUCCUGAAGACAUGAAGCUACUAUUCUGAAGGCUAGCACAGUUCAUUGCAAGUUAGCUAAAUUUAUUUUACUUCUAUUUAGCCAGUUCUUAAAGUCAUGGGGGGCUGGAUGAAUUCAAAAUCAAAAUUUGAUUUAUUAAAAUUCAGAAACACUGUGCUUUUUUGGGGGGACUGAGGGUUUAGGGCUUCUUGACAAAUAAUUGUACCAACUGAGUUUAGCUAGUUAGCCUAGCUGACCCUAGAGCAAAUAUGGCAGACUAUAAUACACCAUACAAGCCUUUACCUAAACUUAAAUAUCUAUAAUUACUAACCUUAAAUCCAAACUUUGCAUUUCUAUGGAGCUAAACCCUUCCAUCUACCCUACAACUACUUCUGUUAGCAGUCUGCGAUUAUCUGUAAACAAGCUGUUAGCAAGUUAGCUAGGUUUGACUUUGACUACAGUUAAAGAGGGACUGGAUGAAUUCAAACACUACACACUUGGUGGAAUA